AAGAAGUGUUACAGAUGAUCAUGAAGGAGCAAACAGCCAUGUUGUAAAUGGCCUCUGAGGAGGACUGGCCUCUAGGAGUUGAGGACCUCAAGCCUACAUCUGCAAGGAAUUGAACGAUGCCAAGAACCCGAACAAACUCUGAAGAUGAGAAUGCGGCCCUGUGCCAAGACUGGCUGCCUUCCCCUGUUUCUGUACCACACUGGUUCCUGAAGCUAUUUGAGUUUGAGACUGCUGGGGUAACCUGACCCACUUCAAGGAUCUGAAAGUAUUUUACAGUUGGUUGAAUCCAUGGAUGUGGAACCCAUGGAUGUGAAGGACUGACUGUACUUUGCACUAGUGGUUCUCAAAGUGUGGGCCCUGGACCAGUGGCAGCAGCAUCACCUGGGAACUUGUGAGAAAUGCACUUUUCAGCUCCUGUUUCAGAUGGACCUAUCAGAAUCUCUGCAGGGAGGCUGUGAGGAUCUAGAGGAUACAGCUACGGAGAACAUGCUGGGUUCCUUGAGCUGCUAAGCACUGAAGUCCCACCAAUGGUGACGAAGGUCUAAGGAGAACAUUGCAAUUGCACAAAAUGAUCCUUGGAAAUUCUUUAGAAGGGCACCAUCUUGGAGACCCAGAAUCAAUAAAACCAGCAUGGCUGGGAGUUUUCUCCAGCAUUUGAAUAAAUUGUUGUUUCUUUGGUUGAACCAUGAUGAGAUAAUUGGCUUAAACCAGGAGUCAUGCAUGGUAUCUGGAAACUUCCUCACUUGAAUCACCAGCAUCAUACUCAGCAUGCAUAAUCCUCUCAUCAUGAGAGGCACAGGGGAAAUGAGCCAGCCUGUCUGGAAAGGAAGCAAAUGCAUGCUUUCCAUCUCCCACUCAGUACUGGACAUGAAGCUAUGUCAUCACCACUUAAUGCCAGCACCACUUAAAUGAUGUUUCUCUCUCUCUGCCCUGUACUUGCUGGAGGCACAUGCCCAUAUCACGUAGGGUGUCAGGGCAGAGAGCUCUUAGGAAGAGCUGAGCUGUGGGGACUUCCUCCCACGCAGAAGAGGGAGGCCUCUGCAGAAUUCUCUGCCAUGUGCUUCUAGGCUUCCUCAACUCAGAAAUUUUAUUAUAGAGUUUUAGAAUGUGAAGAGCUCUUGGAAAUCAUGAAAGAUGAAGAAUCAAGAUGGAAGUUUGAUGGCUUGUCCCAGGCCCCAGAGUGGACCCUUUGCUUUUUGGAAUCCAACAGCAAGGACUCAUGGGAAUAUCGUGGGAUUUGACUUGGAGAGACAGGGCUCAAACCUCAUCUUUGUCACUUAGUGAUUGUGUAAUUCUCUAAAAGUCUAUUUGUAGAAAAGGGAUAAGGGAGCUUUCUUUCCUGGAUUUCAAGAUGAUUAAAAGAGAUGUAUGUAUAAAGGGAUGCUCAGUUGUCUGAGCUGAGAUGACUGCAAAGUCACUGCACUCCUCUUACAAUGCCUGACAGGUGCUUCCAUCUUUGGGAGGUGUGGAGCCCUUGACAGGCACGUCAGCAGGGGGCAUUUGGGAGGGCAGCCUGCGAGGGUGAGGGGAUGCCAGUGGGCCAUACUGCAGAGGCAGAAACUUGGGGGAGGGGUCACAGGCGGUCAACUGAAGAAGGGGCUUGUGCCUGCAGAUGCUCCAAGAGGGGAGUCUAAGAGGAAUCCAGAAAAGUGUCCCCAAGAGAAAGAAUCUGACUUUAAUGUUAGCCGGACCCAGA
rnacentral:lncRNA from 1 species